ACCUGAAGGAAGUCGCCGUCACUGACUGUGAAAGCCAUGCGAUUACUUUGGUACGUAGUCAGUUCUGGCCAGGUUCACCUGACAGACCGUCUGUGGGCUUCCAUUUUAAAUUAAUGGACCUUGCUGAAAAGUUAUUCCUGCACAGUCAGGUGUCUGUAAAGGAGUUUUCAGAAUUGAUUUUGGAAAUGGCACCACCUUUGCAGCCUAAUUUUAUUCAUUCAUUGUGUGCCAUAUUGAGCUCUGGUUGCUUUGAAGAGUACGGGUCAAAUGUUCUUUGCAGAACGGUAAAAGACGGUUGAAGACAGGAAGCAAUCUGAUACUGCUGUAGAUGUAACAUACUCAAGUGUUUGUCACGCAAGGCUUGAA